CUCCUUCUUCACCAUUUUUAGCUGGUCAGUUCAUUUUUUUUCUCUUCAUAUUUUUCAACGAGCUCCAUCACCCAAACUUAUUUCAUCGUAACUCCCAAAUCACCAUCGGAACAGAUUCUCCGAAAUCCCAACCAAACAACCACACAUCACUUCGCCAUCACUCUUUCCUGUAAACACCAUUAACAGUCAGCUUCAAAACUUUUAGACGGAGCAACAAAACAAC
rnacentral:lncRNA from 1 species